GCCAUGUCCAAGUGUGGCGCACCAUUUGGGGAAAUCAGCUAGGUGGCGUGAGGAGCCCAAAGUGGGCCAGGUGUAAGCGCCCAAAUGAAUUCAUGUGCAUGAAGCAACAUGCAGCGUGAAUUAUAAAUGACCAAGACUGGUGCAGCGUGAACCCAAAGUGGCCAAGCAAGGUGCCGCGCAUGAAGCUUGCAAGGUGAUUUAUCCAUGGAAGGGCCAAGUGGGGCGGACAACGUGCAUGGAAAAGAAGUCCAACAUGCAGCGUGAAGUGAAGAAAGCCCAUUUGGGCGUGAAGAGUUGCCCAGCCCAUGGGAGCCAAACACUUGGCGGCAAGCUUCCCUCCAUGGCAAUUUGAAAUACACCAAGCGGGAGCUAGGUGUCCAAAGGCAGCAGGUCUUCAUGUCCUUCCCAUAAUAUUUUAUGUGUAAGUUUAAAGUGUUUUAAACAUGGCCACACAUUGGUUAUCAUUAGGGGCAGCCGGCCAAAAAGAUUGUAUAUAAAGGGUUUGUUCCCUUGUUUUUGUUCACCGAGAGAGUGAGCUUGAGAGUGACGGGAGCACCAUUGUUGGAGAGCUUUGAGAGUGUUUUCCUUUUCCUUUGGCAAUUGUAAAGUUUGAUUGUAAAGGAAUAAAGAAGUAGCUUUCUACUUCCUAAAAUCUUGCCUCCUACCUUUCUUGAAUGCUUGUUUAUGCAUGGGUUGUCUUUGCUAUGAAUUGUUGCGCAUUGGUGAUUGUUGGAGCUUGCUUGCGUGAGGUUAGUGGCCAUUUGUUGCUUGUAUAUUGUGCAUGGGAU
rnacentral:misc_RNA from 1 species